rnacentral:rRNA from 1 species
GCAAGUCGAGGGGUAACGACAUCUUCGGAUGGGCGACGACCGGCGCACGGGUGCGUAACACGUAUGCAACCUACCUUACACAGAGGGAUAGCCCAGAGAAAUUUGGAUUAAUACCUCAUGGUAUUAUUGAUUCGCAUGAAUUAAUAAUUAAAACUCCUGUGGUGUAAGAUGGGCAUGCGUCCCAUUAGCUAGUUGGUAAGGUAACGGCUUACCAAGGCAACGAUGGGUAGGGGUCCUGAGAGGGAGAUC